rnacentral:rRNA from 1 species
UACGUAGGGGGCGAGCGUUGUCCGGAUUUAUUGGGCGUAAAGAGCGUGUAGGCGGCUUGGUAGGUCCGCUGUGAAAACUCGAGGCUCAACCUCGAGAUGUCGGCGGAAACCACUUGGCUAGAGUCCGGAAGAGGAGAGUGGAAUUCCCGGUGUAGCGGUGAAAUGCGCAGAUAUCGGGAAGAACACCUAUGGCGAAGGCAGCUCUCUGGGACGGUACUGACGCUGAGACGCGAAAGCGUGGGGAG